rnacentral:lncRNA from 1 species
CUCUGAUAUCACUGUGGAGGACUGCCAGCCGGAGACCUCGCAGACAUGGAAAUUAACACCCAUCGGAAGUCAUAGCACCUGGAUCUUAGUCUUGGUUCUGCCCAUCUUACUGCUGCACAAAUGUUACUGCCCUAACAUGGAGGAUUACCAACUUAAUGAAAGGCUUAAAACUGCAGAGACAUUAUUUUCCUGAUAAAAUGGCAUAAUUGACUUCUAUGCCUUAUUUCUUUUAAUGUAUGCAAAUGAAUGGGAAAGUAGGAGUGGUUUAACUCUUCUGUAAAUCUAUUUGAACUCCUUUGGGGAAAGAUGUAAAUAAGCAGAGCUACAUGUUCAUUGUAAAGACACAGACGGGAUGUUAUCACCAUUAGUAAUAAUUUAAUUAUAUCAACUAAUUGUUAUUACCUUCUAAUGCAUUUAUGUAAAGACAAAUUUUGUCUUCUUGCUAGCUUUGCCAAUAAAACAAAAG